AUGGAGAUAGAGGGCACCGAUAAGAUGAUUGUGCACGCCACGGAGUUCUAUAAAGAACUGUUCGGCCCAGCUCCUGGAAACCAGUUUCACCUAGAUCCUGACACAUGGGCACCAGAGGAAAAACUUAGUGAGGAGGAUAAUACUGACCCGUGUAGAGAGUUCUCAGAGGAGGAGGUCAAGGAGGCCCUGUUUGACAUGGCCACCAAUAGGGCCCCUGGACCUGAUAAUAUCCCGGUAGAAUUCUACCAAGUGUGUUGGGAUAUUGUCAAAAACGAUAUCAUGGCCUUGUUUUAG
rnacentral:rRNA from 1 species